UAGGGAAUCUUCGGCAAUGGGGGCAACCCUGACCGAGCAACGCCGCGUGAGUGAAGAAGGUUUUCGGAUCGUAAAGCUCUGUUGUAAGAGAAGAACGUGUGUGAGAGUGGAAAGUUCACACAGUGACGGUAACUUACCAGAAAGGGACGGCUAACUACGUGCCAGCAGCCGCGGUAAUACGUAGGUCCCGAGCGUUGUCCGGCUUUAUUGGGCGUAAAGCGAGCGCAGGCGGUUUAAUAAGUCUGAAGUUAAAGGCAAUGGCUUAACCAUUGUUCGCUUUGGAAACUGUUAAACUUGAGUGCAGAAGGGGAGAGUGGAAUUCCAUGUGUAGCGGUGAAAUGCGUAGAUAUAUGGAGGAACACCGGUGGCGAAAGCGGCUCUCUGGUCUGUAACUGACGCUGAGGCUCGAAAGCGUGGGGAGCAAACAGG
rnacentral:rRNA from 1 species